rnacentral:lncRNA from 1 species
GUAGAUUGUAUAUUGUGUCAUCUUGCCUCUAUUCAAUAUUCAAGACAUCAUUUUGAAAUAACCCUGCAUACAUUCCAGCAUCUUGCCCAAGACAACACACCUGUAUACCCAACAGAAGGAUGCAAUGUCACAAUAAUGAUCUGAAUGAAUUUCUCAACAUGACCGACGUCAGAGUGGCGUUCACUAUUUAAGACGGAGACUCCAGUCCAAGCUUCAUCAAACUCAUCCAGCUGUGGACUCGAUCAACUGCUGGGACAAUAAUCAAGUAAUAUUCUUACUCAUUAAGUUUUAAACUUCAAUGCUUUUGCUUCCAAUCUUGACCGAUUGAUUAAUCUUCUCAGUUUCUUUUUCCCCCUCAAGGUGAAAUCAUGAUGAAGAUACUGGUACUGCUUGGAUGUCUCCUGAGUCUGGCUCUGGCUCUUCCAGUGGACGAAGUGCAUGAGAGAAUUGCUCGUUCUUCCUCUGACUCCAAUUCCAGAGAGAUGGGGCGGUAUCCGUCAUUCUACCCACCGUAUCCCCGGUUCCCCCCACCACCACCACCAACACAGAACCAGGCCGACCUAUGGGCCUUGUUCCUGCAAUUCCUGCUGGCUAACUCCCCCCCGGCCCCGCCUCCAGUUCCGACCUAAAGACCCUAAAAUCAGUUUGUUAUCCUCUGUAUGACUUCUAUAAUAAAUCAUGCAUGACAAUAAGAAAUGUGUCGGUGGUAUUUGGUCGUAUGCUCCUGCCCUUCCUCCUGCUGGUUGCCUUGCCCAGCGCUGCACCAGCGACCGCAGCCACUACCGCUGAGACCUACUGCUGAAGUUGCCAUAUUUGGUACUUUGAUUUGCACCAAUAAUUCUUAAUACUUACAAAGUGUUUGUUCAUCUAAGGAGCAUGGCUAAUAAAUCUUUUGACAAAAAUAAGAAAUCCUUUUUUAAAAUCACCAAUUAAUCAGAAUUUCUUUCACAAUGCGUCAUCAAAACGUAGAAGAUAAACGAUGAAUACUGACUAUACA